GUGCUCAAUUUGGCAGGACAUACACUAAAAUUGGAACAAUAUAGACAACAUUAGCAUGGCAGCAGUGCAAGGAUUACAAACGCAAAUUACUGAAGCAUUCCAUUUUU